GGUUAGGAUAGGGGACAGGAUAGGGUACAGGUUAGGGUACAGGUUAGGAUAGGGUACAGGUUAGGGUUACAGGUUAGGAUAGGGGACAGGAUAGGGUACAGGCUAGGGUUACAGGGGACAGGUUACAUGGUACAGGUUAGGGUUAGGGUUAGGGUACUGGUUAGGGUUAUAGUGGACAGGUUAGGGUUACAGGUUAGGAUAGGGGACAGGUUAGGGUUACAGUGGACAGGUUGGGAUAGGAUACAGGUUAGGGUUACAGUGGACAGGUUAGGGUUACAGUGGACAGGUUAGGGUUCCAGUGGACAGGUUAGGGUUACAGUGGACAGGUUAGGGUUAGGGUUAUAGUGGACAGGUUAGGGUUACAGUGGACAGGUUAGGGAUAGGGUAUAUGUUGGGGUGCAGGUUAGGGUACAGGUUAGGGUACAGGUUAGAUUUAGGGUACAGGUUAGGGUUACAGUGGAAAGAAAGAGGACAGCUCACAGAUCAUUUAAUUGUUAUCCAAUUGUCUUAAAUAACCAAUUUCCUCAUUCUGCUAUUGUCCUCAUAAGAGACUAACUUCCUCAUUCUGCUGUUGUCCUCAUUCUGCUGUUGUCCUCAUAAGUGACUAACUUCCUCAUUCUGCUGUUGUCCUCAGUCUGCUGUUGUCCUCAUUAAUGAACAACUUCCUCAUUCUGCUGUUGUCCUCAUUCUGCUGUUGUCCUCAUAAGAGACUAACUUCCUCAUUCUGCUGUUGUCCUCAUUCUGCUGUUGUCCUCAUAAUUGACUAACUUCCCCAUUCUGCUGUUGUCCUCAUAAAUGAACAACUUCCUCAUUCUGCUGUUGUCCUCAUUCUGCUCUUGUCCUCAUUCUGCUGUAGUCCUCAUAAGAGACUAACUUCCUCAUUCUGCUGUAGUCCUCAUAAGAGACUAACCUCCUCAUUCUGCUUUUGUCCUCAUUCUGCUGUUGUCCUCAUAAAUGAACAACCUCCUCAUUCUGCUCUUGUCCUCAUUCUGCUGUUGUCCUCAUAAAUGACUACCUUCCCCAUUCUCAUAUGUGAACAACCUCCUCAUUCCCAUGUACUGUACAUCUAAUAAACAGAGUUAGUAAAGAUGUGUAUUAUCUCUCUUGAAAACUGGCCUUACUUUGUAUGACUGAAAUGUUCAAGUUUUGAUAUAUUUUAAUAUAUUCAUGAAAUGGGGAUUUUGUGUCUUAAGUGGGUUGUGCAUGCUGACCACACCGCUCACAUUGCGGAAUAAAUGCAUGUUAAUCAAUAAUUACAUCCAAACUGCUUGCGCACGUCAACGUCUGCAUAGCCAGGCGCUGAAAUAGAACCUAGUUCUAUUUGUGAUGCUGAAUGCGCUGCAAGUCCCGCCUCUCCCAUCUCCUCAUUGGUUGUUAGGAGCAUCUACCCACUUGGGUGAUUGAAAGCAACUGAGGUCCACACUCCAGUCCAGUUGGUGGUGGUAAUGCACCUUAAAGUUGGUUGCCAACCGCCAUAUAAAGUCCAAAGAAGAAAACUGAAGGAGGAGAGAUUACUAGACACUAACUUCCCCUUUUAUCUCUGGAUUAACUGUCAGAGUAGAGAACAUAAAAAAUAAUCUACAAAGAUCCAGGAAAAAAUUGACCUUGUGUAUUUCAAGUAGAAUAACAACCCAGUGUUUAAUUUUAUCCCAGGACAAAUGAACUAGCUAAAUGUCCAUGAAUGUUUCAUGUGUUUCGACCUGUCCCAAAUGAAUAUAAUUCGUUCAGAGUUCGUUUGGAUAUUUCAACCUGCGUGUCCUGAUUGUGUCUGGUGUGGUUGGACAAAAUCAACAUGCGUGCAAUGUGCACGUGGAUGCAAGCGCGUGCCCGGUGUAGUCAGCAUGUUCGUUCUUGUAAUUCAAUGCUGGAGGCUUUGCUGUUCAACAAAAAGGAUGUAUUUGUUUAAAAAAUAAAAAAUAAACUUUGUUGAAAAGAA